GCCCUUGAGUUUGAUCCUGGCUCAGGACGAACGCUGGCGGCGUGGAUAAGGCAUGCAAGUCGUACGAGAAAGGGUCCUUCGGGACCUGAGUAAAGUGGCGCACGGGUGAGUAACGCGUGGAUAAUCUACCCUUCAGUUGGGAACAACUCAUCGAAAGGUGGGCUAAUACCGAAUAACACUGCAAGACCCUGGUUGAGCAGUCAAAGAGAGCCUCUGCUUGCAAGCCCUCGCUGAAGGACGAGUCCGCGUACCAUUAGCUAGUUGGUAGGGUAAUGGCCUACCAAGGCGACGAUGGUUAGCUGGUCUGGGAGGAUGAUCAGCCACACUGGAACUGAGACACGGUCCAGACUCCUACGGGAGGCAGCAGUGAGGAAUCUCGCGCAAUGGGGGAAACCCUGACGCAGCAACGCCGCGUGAGUGAGGAAGGCCUUCGGGUCGUAAAGCUCUGUCAGUUGGAAAGAAAUGCUUGAGAGUUAAUACCUUUCAAGCUUGACGGUACCAACAGAGGAAGCACCGGCUAACUCCGUGCCAGCAGCCGCGGUAAUACGGGGGGUGCAAGCGUUGUUCGGAAUUAUUGGGCGUAAAGAGCGUGUAGGCGGCCGGAUAUGUCAGAUGUGAAAUCCCUGGGCUUAACCCAGGAAGUGCAUUUGAAACUGUCCGGCUAGAGUAGGGGAGAGGGAAGUGGAAUUCCUGGUGUAGAGG
rnacentral:rRNA from 1 species